UCACUUCGACGGCUGAAAAAUGCUUGAGGUUCCUUCAUUUGUUUGCCUCUGAAAAUCCUGUUCUCAAGAGAAUAAUCUCUUUCUCUUGCUAUUUUAGUCGCCAUCUCACCCAGAUUCAAUGCAGGGAUUAUAGGAAUCGAAACUCUCUGUCGAAUCACAACUUUGCUGCAGUAUUACCGGGCGAUUCAGUGGCAGGGCUUGUGGUAGCUAAUGGCAUUCUCAACUUUUUGAAUAUAUA
rnacentral:misc_RNA from 1 species